GGGACGAAGGCGGUGGAUUAUCCUGCAAAAUUAUGCUUCUGAAUCUUCCAUAAUUGCCGUUGUUAUCUUAAUUUUUGUUUUUCUGCGGAUAAACGCAAUAGGUUUCUGUUUCAUCAGAGUGACGGAGAACGGAGGUAGGGAUGUCUUUAUCCUCUUCUUCUUCAGCGACUGUGGCAGUGGAGAAGGCCACCAGCGACCUUCUAAUAAGUCCCGAUUGGACUAUGAACA
rnacentral:misc_RNA from 1 species